AGCAAGCCUUCCUCACCAGCAUGCACAGUACUUAACAGUUUAUAUCGUCAAACCUUUAUAAGCUGGUAAUAUUUCACAGCAUUUAUUCAUAAACCAGGGCACACUCAUAUAUGCUUUAUGCAGGUAGUCUCAAGCGUGAUUCGGCUUCUCCAAGUCCUCAAGGCUGGUGGGGCGGAACCAGGCCUUUUCCUCUAAAACUGAGCUCGGAUCACUGUUAGCAGGUGAUGCAGAGACGCCCCGCUCUCCGCCUGCCGCCGAGUGUGGCUCGGUGGCAGGCCCGAAUACACCAGUUUGCGGAUGGGGUGCCCAAUAUUUGUCUGACUCUGGCUGAAUCACGUCGUCAGGGACCGCGCUUGCGUUAACAUUAUCAUCCAGGUUCUUGUCGUAUACAGAUGUGUGUGCUGCCCUCCUGGCAGUGAAAGCAGAAGCAGAGCGAGAUGAUGAAGAGUAGUUAGCGGUCCAGAUCUGGGUGAC
rnacentral:misc_RNA from 1 species